AAGAGAGAAAUGAAGUCUCUGCCAUACUAGACUUUCAUAUUCUCAAGAUGCCCAAUGCCCUUUUUGCUCCGUGCCAAAAGUCUGUACGAAGAAAAUAGUUUCUUUCUUAAGAUCUUGCUGCAUCCUUCAAAUCAGAAUUGAAUGCAAGAGUGAAGUGUUUACUUGGUCGUCAAGUCUUUGUGCCAUGUUGGAAAUGCAAGCAAUUAAGGAAAUAAUAAAUUGCACAGCAACGCUUUUCCAAUUUCUAUCGAUAAGCUUGUCUGUUUGCU
rnacentral:lncRNA from 1 species